rnacentral:tRNA from 2 species
GGAAGCGUGCCCGAAAGCCAAGGAUCUCCUUGAUAGGGAGACUUAUAGGGGUUCAAACCCCCUCACUUCCU